rnacentral:lncRNA from 1 species
UGGCAAAGCUAGGCUAGGUCUGGAGGCUGGUGUGAGAGGCGAUGCGGGCGAAGGCAGGAGGCGGAUGGGGAGAAGAAAAGCCGAACUGGAUUCACGGUGCCUCGGAUGGAGGCUGAGAGGGGAACUGCAAGCUCCUUCAACUCGUUCUGUCCGGUGAGAAGCGAUCCAGCUUGGGCUGACAGGAGGCUCAGGAAGCCCUCACGUUCUUUGCUUUUUUUACCUGCCAAUCAAACUGCUACAAGACAACACCCUGAUCUGGCGUGGACAU